UACGAAGGGGGCUAGCGUUGCUCGGAAUCACUGGGCGUAAAGCGCACGUAGGCGGAUUGCUAAGUCAGGGGUGAAAUCCUGGAGCUCAACUCCAGAACUGCCUUUGAUACUGAAGAUCUUGAGUUCGGGAGAGGUGAGUGGAACUGCGAGUGUAGAGGUGAAAUUCGUAGAUAUUCGCAAGAACACCAGUGGCGAAGGCGGCUCACUGGCCCGGUACUGACGCUGAGGCACGAAAGCGUGGGGAGCAAACAGG
rnacentral:rRNA from 1 species